UGCACAUACAUAACGCUUCAUACAUAACGGUUUUUUUUAAAAACCGUUAUGUAUGAGCGCAUUUUUUGAAAAGAUAACGGUUUUGACAAAAAACCGUUAUCUAUGUACUGUUGUCCAUGGAAAUAGAUAACGGUUUAAGUUAAUCCGUUAUGUUUAUGUGUUAUCUAUUAGUUUCAUACAUAACGGUACUACAAAACCGUUAAGCCGACCGUUAUCUAUGAGCAUUUUUUUUAUUUUAAAAUUUAACUUAAUCUAAUUCCCCCAAGCCACCAAACACUAACACCUCUCUCUCCCGCUCAGCUUCCCCAAUCCUCACCUUCUUCCAGUCCGCCGCGCCCCCCCGGUCUGCCGCGCCUCCGUCCAGCCCCCUCAGUUCGCCGCGCCCAUGGUCUGCUUCCGUCUGCCCGGAUCGGUGUCUAAUUACUCACCCAACCAAACCCCCUCUUAUUUGUACGCAAACUCCCUCUCUCUCUGCGUUAUUGCUUUCUCUCGCUCCAUGUCGUCUCUCUCCCUCUUUCGUCCGGCGACGUCGCCGGUUCUCGCCGCCUCUGGCGUGACGAGGCCGGCGCCUCUUCUUAUUCCUUCUCCUCUCCUUUCAUUUUCUUCCUUAUUUCUUCCCCAAAAUAAAAUCCCCAAUUUCUAGGGUUUUCAGCCUCCCUCUCCUCUCUGAAUUUCGCCCCUCCGGCGAGUCCCGCCACUUUCGCCGCCGUCGCACCGCCGCCCCCUGCCUCAGACUCGAAGACAGCAAGGUGAUGAAAAACUGGCUUCUGCAUCCGAUUGGAGAAUGUAACUUGCAGCUAUUUGCUCUUGUUUCAUUAUGGAUAUCAAGCAAAAUACAUGAUUCACCUUCUCUGUCUGUUAAAAAUUUCAAAUCCUUGGGAGACAACUUUAUCAAGGAGCAACAUUUCACCAUGGGGGAUAUUUUGGAAGCUGUAAGAUCAUUGUUUCAUUAAUGCUUAUAAGAUCCUUCUCCAUUUUCUAUUAAGCAUGAUGGCUAACAAGAAAUCUGCAGGAGAUAGUGCUAAUGCAGGUAUUGUUUGAUGUGCUAUUUCUUUCUAAUACUAUUUGACUUGUUUUUGUUCUCUGGAUCACUUUCCUGUUUGGUAAAGUAAUCGAGUUUCUUUAAGGUUCUGCAAUUUGGGAUUGGCAUGUCGAAAAUUGCUUUUGCUUCAG